rnacentral:rRNA from 1 species
UACGUAGGGAGCAAGCGUUGUUCGGAUUUACUGGGCGUAAAGGGCGCGUAGGCGGCGCUGUAAGUCACUUGUGAAAUCUCUGGGCUUAACUCGGAACGGUCAAGUGAUACUGCAGUGCUAGAGUGCGGAAGGGGCAAUCGGAAUUCUUGGUGUAGCGGUGAAAUGCGUAGAGAUCCGGAAGAACACCGGUGGCGAAGGCGGCCUGCUGGGCAGUAGCUGACGCUGAGGCGCGACAGCGUGGGGAGCAAACAGG